CAUGAUGUUCUUGGGCAAUCUCCACCGCCCAAUAGGCAAUCAAAUCGGUUAUUAUCCAGUCCGGAGAUUGAGUGGACACAAACUGUCUUAAAGGCUGUUGCAGGAGAUCAUAUGCAACUUUCAAGUACUGAAUUUUGUCGAGGGGAAUAUCCACGGUAGCCUCUGCGCCUUCUGGCAGGACCUGUUCAUCGUGAUGUAAUAAGGUUGGAAAUGGAACUUCCACUAGGUGAAUAAGAGAUGUUAAAUUUUGAGGAAUCUUGGGCAGUCUUUGGAUGUUUCUUGGGGUUGAUAAGAUGGAGACUUUAGCUCCAGCUUUGGCUAAGGCUAUGGAGAGUUGAAACAUUGGUAUCAAAUGGCCAAAGGCAGACCAUGGAACCAUCACUACGUGAAGAUUUCCGGCCAUUUCCCCCUCUUUUCCCUAUAGCUUUAAGAUUGCCUACAGCAAAUCAUCUGUUA
rnacentral:misc_RNA from 1 species